CCAUUAAGAUGUUUAAGGAGUUAAGGCCUAAAUGCUAUUUUAGUAUGUAAAAUAUUGAAUUUCAACAGUUAAUAUCAUAUCUGUAUGGUUAUGGAUAAUAACAAUACAUCUGAAAGCAAAUAUUCAAAAAUAACACAGAUGACAAUUGCAAAGUAAUUAUUUUUUCAUAUAUUUUUCAAGGUUCAACCUUCUAAAACCUGCACAUUAAGGAUUUUGAAGUUAAAUCUCUUCAUACUCCUGAGAAAAAAUAAAAUAUUUUAGGGGUCUAUGACUAUACCAUACAUUUAAAUUUUUCUACCUACCAAGUACAUCCUUAAAUAAGAAGUAACAUUUCUGGAAAAAAUGAACAUUAUUAUAAUGGAAAAAAAAACAGGUAUGACUUGACAUCAUGUACUUGUAUCAUUUUCUUUAGAUCUCCUUAAUUGUCUUUAGUUUUCAUACCAAUUUGAUUAAAAUAUAGUUCCUGCGUCCACUCUUUGUUACAAGUAUCUGACUACACUUUUUUCUACUGUCUGAUUUGGUAGUUAUUACAUCAGCCAAUGAUAAAUCUGCCUAUAAACUUUUUGAGACAGUAUCAUUAAAAUAAAAUCAGAGGGAUUACAAAAGAUCUUUAGAAUAGAGAGUAGAACAGAGCGUUGUCAGGUUCUUGCUGGUGAAGCAUGGGCACAGGAUUUGUAUUUAAGGUGGCUCGGGACUAUUCGAAGUUUCUAUCAGAAGUGCCGUAUUUUUUGUUAGUUUAUUCUUUAAAGAAAAUAAAUCAAAUUGGUCGAAAAAAAAUAGGGGGUCACGGACCAUUUAAGCUCAAUUUUUUUCUUUUAAACAGGUAUGUAAAAGGGCCAUUUUUCAAUGAAAUGAUAGGGAAAAUAGAGGUGUUGACAUAUUUUUAUCGGAAUAUCAAAAAAACGUUCUAUGACAAUAAGUCCAAAACUAUAAUAUAAAAAGCUGGAAUAUAGCUUCAAAGAAUGAGCCAAUAAAAAACACAGGUCACCGAUAAGGGGAAAAAAAUAUUUUGCCUUUAAACCCAAAUUUUGGCGGGAAAAUGGUGAAAAUGAGUGAAAUGUCAUUUUGACCCUUUAACAAAUACGGAUAAUAACGAAAAUAUUCUAUUAGUCACAUAACUACAAUGAUUUAACAUUUCUAAUCAAUCAAAAUAUUUAAAAAAAUUAUAUCGAAUUUUCGACAAAUACUUUUGUAAUUCAUGCGUGAAAUCAUGCGCAGUCGAAUAGUCCCGAGCCACCUUAAUCAGAUUCAUUGUUUUUAUUCCGAGAUAGUUGUGUUCUGAACAGAUAUAUCAUUGUUAAGGAGGGGUAUUUUUCGCAAAUACCCCUCAAGAACAUGCUAUAUCUGUUCAAUCACACUGAAUGUUAAUGUUCAAAAACACAUUGAUGAUUGUGAUGUUACAAGCGUCCAGUCGGAUAGAGUAUUUUUUGGCAAAUACCACAGCAGAGAGGGUAAAAAGGGCAUAUCCUUUUUGCAUAUACCCCAGCGGCGUUUAAAAAUGAACGAUAUUCAUUUGAUAACAGUAAACUGGUGAAAAAUACACUGGCUAUCAACCAAUCAAAACCCAGGAUUCUUACAUAAGGUGUAAUUAUAAAUAAUAUACAACAUAAAGUUACACAGAUUUUUUAUUUCUAAUUCAACAUUAAUUUUCAUUUCAUUUAAAAAAAACUUCAAGGGAAAUCCAUAAUUGUUCAUGUAAAUCCGUUAAAACCAGGUUUUAGCUGUCUUUUACACAGAAAACAUCAUGCAUAUACAAACAAAUUAUUUGUAUAAUUAUUACCAUAAAGCAGAGGUACAACUUAUUGAAUGAAUGAAUGAAUGAAUGAAUAUUUUAUUUGCAAAAGCAUAUAGAGCAUGCUAUGGCAAUAAUAUACAUAAUGUGACAAAAGACUGGUAUUAAUCAUUAUAACAUAUAUUAUAAACAAAAAGUUGCUCCUGAAAAUGUAUGAACUGUUGACCACUGGAUGUUCAGCAAGUGUCAGAUUUUAUACUUCAUAUAUUAUAAUUUACUAGGGAAAACACUAAAAUAUAUUUAUAGUAUAACUCUGUCAGAUAAUGGAUAUUUCAUAAUUUUAAAAAAAGAAUUAUAAAAUUUAAUUUGAAUAAAAAUAUAUCUUAUUUAAAAAUGUAGGUAUAGACUAGGACAGUCCGACUGAUCUUUUUUUCAAUUAUAAUUCCUGUGAAAGUUAGUUAUGAAGUUAUGGAUGUUUUGAAUGAUACAUGUAGUUUCAUUCUGACGUUGAGCCAAGCAGAGAGGGUUCUUCUUUAAUGCAGAAAAACUCCGAGUUAAUAAAUAGAUGUGAGCAGAAAUAGGACCAGAUUGUUAUUUGAAUUAAUUAUAUAGAUACUUGUAUUGUGUGGUGUGCUGCUUUGAAAUUUUUAUAUGUGUAAUUACAUUUUAUAGGACUUGAAAUAUUUUGUUCAGUGCAUGAGAAAAUAGGUACAAGAAUUUUUGAUUUUGUAAUAUAUGUUUUGUAAGGAUUUGCUGAUUUUGAGAAAUGAGUCUUUAUGUGCAUAACUCGUCUGUGGAUUAAUUUUAUUUUCGUGGGUACCAAUUUUCGUAAAUUGAGGAAAACUUGCAUAUUAGUAGAUAUUUGAUUUCGUGAUUUUGGCAAAGUUUGCAUACAUUUCUUAAGAAAAUUUGUGAUUCGUUGAGCAUUUAAAUUCGUGGUUCUUCUGUAUCCACGAAAUCCACAAAAAAUGGUACACAAUGAAUAUUACAGAAUCCACAGCAUUUUAAAAAGAUAAUUAUUUAUUGUUAUAAUAUAUAAACUGAAAUAAUUACUGAUGGAGAAACAUCUCCACUAUCUUAUUUUUUUGCCUAUUUACAGGCCUAUGUUAGAGUGACAAUUCAUUAUUCAAAAUGGCUAAAUGAAGCAUUAAACUUCACGAGCUACUCAGCUGCUUAUCAAUGCAUGAUUUCAUUUUGUAACAAUACCUCAAGAUAAUAAAGUAGAUUUUUCAAUAACAUUUUCAAUAAAAAAAAAUCACGAGUCCUCAACAGUUCUCUCAAUUUUUUGGACAAUUUAAGCUAUAAAAUUUUCUGGUUUAAAUAGCCACACUAAAUUAUUCAUAACAUUUUUAUAAUGGUAAGCCUGUGUUUUGUGGAAGAAUUGUUAAUGAAUAUUUGUUGAUUAAUAAUUCAAAUUUUUAUGUUUUUCAC
rnacentral:lncRNA from 1 species